rnacentral:rRNA from 2 species
GAACGCUGGCGGCGUGCCUAAUACAUGCAAGUCGAACGAGUUCUCGUUGAUGAUCGGUGCUUGCACCGAGAUUCAACAUGGAACGAGUGGCGGACGGGUGAGUAACACGUGGGUAACCUGCCCUUAAGUGGGGGAUAACAUUUGGAAACAGAUGCUAAUACCGCAUAGAUCCAAGAACCGCAUGGUUCUUGGCUGAAAGAUGGCGUAAGCUAUCGCUUUUGGAUGGACCCGCGGCGUAUUAGCUAGUUGGUGAGGUAAUGGCUCACCAAGGCGAUGAUACGUAGCCGAACUGAGAGGUUGAUCGGCCACAUUGGGACUGAGACACGGCCCAAACUCCUACGGGAGGCAGCAGUAGGGAAUCUUCCACAAUGGACGCAAGUCUGAUGGAGCAACGCCGCGUGAGUGAAGAAGGCUUUCGGGUCGUAAAACUCUGUUGUUGGAGAAGAAUGGUCGGCAGAGUAACUGUUGUCGGCGUGACGGUAUCCAACCAGAAAGCCACGGCUAACUACGUGCCAGCAGCCGCGGUAAUACGUAGGUGGCAAGCGUUAUCCGGAUUUAUUGGGCGUAAAGCGAGCGCAGGCGGUUUUUUAAGUCUGAUGUGAAAGCCCUCGGCUUAACCGAGGAAGCGCAUCGGAAACUGGGAAACUUGAGUGCAGAAGAGGACAGUGGAACUCCAUGUGUAGCGGUGAAAUGCGUAGAUAUAUGGAAGAACACCAGUGGCGAAGGCGGCUGUCUGGUCUGUAACUGACGCUGAGGCUCGAAAGCAUGGGUAGCGAACAGGAUUAGAUACCCUGGUAGUCCAUGCCGUAAACGAUGAAUGCUAGGUGUUGGAGGGUUUCCGCCCUUCAGUGCCGCAGCUAACGCAUUAAGCAUUCCGCCUGGGGAGUACGACCGCAAGGUUGAAACUCAAAGGAAUUGACGGGGGCCCGCACAAGCGGUGGAGCAUGUGGUUUAAUUCGAAGCAACGCGAAGAACCUUACCAGGUCUUGACAUCUUUUGAUCACCUGAGAGAUCAGGUUUCCCCUUCGGGGGCAAAAUGACAGGUGGUGCAUGGUUGUCGUCAGCUCGUGUCGUGAGAUGUUGGGUUAAGUCCCGCAACGAGCGCAACCCUUAUGACUAGUUGCCAGCAUUUAGUUGGGCACUCUAGUAAGACUGCCGGUGACAAACCGGAGGAAGGUGGGGAUGACGUCAAAUCAUCAUGCCCCUUAUGACCUGGGCUACACACGUGCUACAAUGGAUGGUACAACGAGUUGCGAGACCGCGAGGUCAAGCUAAUCUCUUAAAGCCAUUCUCAGUUCGGACUGUAGGCUGCAACUCGCCUACACGAAGUCGGAAUCGCUAGUAAUCGCGGAUCAGCACGCCGCGGUGAAUACGUUCCCGGGCCUUGUACACACCGCCCGUCACACCAUGAGAGUUUGUAACACCCGAAGCCGGUGGCGUAACCCUUUUAGGGAGCGAGCCG